ensembl:lncRNA
NNNNNNNNNNNNNNNNNNNNNNNNNNNNNNNNNNNNNNAGGACAGCCCAGGGUGGGACAAGGACACCCCAGGGUGGGACACGGCACUGGGAGGCACCCAGGUGGGACAAGGACAGCCCAGGCUGGGACAAGGACACCCCAGGGUGGCACUUGGAGAGGGACACACCAGGGUGGGACCUGGGCACCCCAGGGUGGGACACGGCAUGGGACACCCCAGGGUGGGACAUGGAGACCCCAGGGUGGCACUCGGAGAGGGACACGCCAGGGUGGGACACGGGCACCAUGGCGUGGGGACACCCCGGGAUGGGACAUGGGCACCCCAGGGUGGGACACGGCGCUGGGAAACCCCCCGGGUGGGACAAGGACACCCCAGGGUGGAACGUGGACACCCUAGGGUGGCACCCGGAGAGGGAUGGGACAAGGACACCCCAGGGUGGGACAAGGACACCCCAGGGUGGCACCCGGAGAGGGACACCCCAGGGUGGGACACAGGGGCACCAUGGCAUGGGGACACCCCGGGAUGGGACAUGGGCACCCCAGGGUGGGACAAGGACACCCCAGGGUGGCCCUCGGAGAGGGACACGCCAAGGUGGGACAUGGGCAUCCCAGGGUGGGACGUGGAGACCCCAGGGUGGCACUUGGAGAGGGACACCCCGGGGUGGGACACAGGGGCAGCAUGGCGUGGGGACACCCCGGGAUGGGACAUGGGCACCCCAGGGUGGGUCACAGCAUGGGGACACCCCGGGAUGGGACAUGGGCACCCCAGGGUGGGUCACAGCAUGGGGACACCCCGGGAUGGGACAUGGGCACCCCAGGGUGGGACAUGGGCACCCCAGGGUGGCACUUGGAGAGGGACACGCCAGGGUGGGACAUGGGCUCCAUGGCAUGGGGACACCCCGGGAUGGGACAAGGACACCCCAGGGUGGGACAGGGACCCCCCAGGGUGGGACACAGGGGCACCCCAGGGUGGGUCAUGGUGCAGGGACACCCCUGGGUGGGACAUGGGCAUCCCAGGGUGGGACGUGGAGACCCCAGGGUGGCACUUGGAGAGGGACACGCCAAGGUGGGACAGGGACACCCCAGGGUGGGACGUGGAGACCCCAGGGUGGCACCUGGAGAGGGACACGCCAGGAUGGGACACAGGGGCAGCAUGGCGUGGGGACACCCCGGGAUGGGACAUGGGCACCCCAGGGUGGGUCACAGCAUGGGGACACCCCAGGAUGGGACAAGGACACCCCAGGAUGGGACACAGGGGCACCCCAGGGUAGGACACAGGGGCACCCCAGGGUGGGUCAUGGUGCAGGGACACCCCUGGGUGGGACAGGGACACCCCAGGGUGGGACGUGGAGACCCCAGGGUGGCACUUGGAGAGGGACACGCCAGGGUGGGACAUGGGCUCCAUGGCGUGGGGACACCCCGGGAUGGGACAUGGACACCCCAGGGUGGGACAGGGACCCCCCAGGGUGGGACACAGGGGCACCCCAGGGUAGGACACAGGGGCACCCCAGGGUGGGUCAUGGUGCAGGGACACCCCUGGGUGGGAUAGGGACACCCCAGGGUGGGACGUGGAGACCCCAGGGUGGCACUUGGAGAGGGACACCCCAGGGUGGGACACAGGGGCACCAUGGCGUGGGGACACCCCGGGAUGGGACAUGGGCACCCCAGGGUGGGUCACAGCAUGGGGACACCCCAGGAUGGGACAUGGACACCCCAGGGUGGGACCUGGGCACCCCAGGGUGGCACCCAGAGAGGGACACGCC